rnacentral:lncRNA from 1 species
UCGCCAAGGAGACGACUGACAAUUUCCAGUUGCCAAGCCUCACCCUGGAGCUCUACAGAGACAUUAUGGAAACUCCCCACUCCUUCCUGCUCCUCAGCCAGGGAACUUGGAGAAUCUAGCCAGGUUGGGUGGAGGGCACUGGGAGGGGAUAGAGAGGAGGUGACAAGCCUGAAGAUGGAGAGAGCAGCUAGAAGUUUCCCUGGGCCCUGGCUUCCCCAACAGACCUCAAAAGUCUGGCCCACCCUUGAAGGCUAGGGCUGGCCUGGUGGGCAUCCCCUGUGCUGGGUCCAGACAGACUCCUACCAGGGACCUCCAACCAGACCCUCAACUACAGAGAACUGUCCCUAUAUUGUCAUUCCCGGCCUGGUAGCAGCACUGUUGCCAGAUGGGGCAGAACCCAGGAAGAACCUGGGAACUGAAGGGCUAGGAGUCUUUCCUGGGGGAAGGAACUGCAGCUGUCCUGAGCACUUUGCUCAUAUCAGACAGCACUCAAAUGCACUGAGGCCUAGUGUCACAGCCCGGGAAACAGCAACAACAGCAACGCUAAUAAUAAUAAUCGUAGUGGUGCAGUAGGUGUGACUCUUACUCUAUAAACUUAGGUGCACAAAAAUAUCCAUUUCUCUAUUUCACUAAAAUCAAGUAGAGUUGAGUUCAUUCCUGGGGCUCCUGCCUUUUUCCAGCGUCCCACCAGAACCCGGGGGCUUAUUGCUAUGGUUUAAAUGUGUCCCCAAAAUUCAGGUGUUGCCAGUGUGGUAGUAUUAAGAGAUGGGGUCUCCAAGAGGUGGUUGGGCCACGAGGGCUCCUCCCCUGUGAAUGGGAGUAGCUGCCCUUAUAAAAGGGCUUGACAAAGGGAGUUUAUCCCUUUUUGCCCUUCUGCCUUCCACUAUGUGGGGACAUGGCCUUCGUCUCCUCUGGAAGAUGCAGUGACAAGGCGCCAUCUUGGAAGACAACAGCUCUCACCAGACACCGGACCUGCUGGAGCCCCGGUCUUGGACUUCCCAGUCUCCAGAACUAUGAGGCCACAAGAUGGAGACGGAGCGGGUUGCUCACCCAAGUUCAUGCAGCGCCCAUCUGACGUUCCCCCGGGAGGAGCUGCAGGGCCUUCUUUCGAGGAGGUGGCAGAGGGGCUUCCUGCGUGCAAAGGAGGGUCCCACCAGCCCUUUUGGAACCUCAGCCUGGUCCUCCAGAAUUUCACCUCAAACUACUGGAGUCUAGGUCCUGAGUCCCUCCUUAUAAGCCCCUCAUUUCUGAGUUCAGCUACGAGGCCACUCCAGGGACUCCAGGUUGCCCCUUAGUCCACACAGUUGCCUGUCCUUCCCUCCAGGCUGAUGUGAGCCCUGGGGGCCCAGGCAGGCUGGGGAUGGAGGCCACGCAGUGAGGGUGGAGAGCACAGGCCCUGAGCAGGAGGGGACGAUGAGAAGCAGGCACCAGAACCUGGGAAUCCACAGCUUUACCUGCCCCAGGGCCCGGCUGCUGAGCUUGCACAGUGCAGAGCACAGCUCCAGGUGACCUCAGCUUGGAUGAAGCUCCUUGGGAAGGGGGGAAGGAGGGAAAGAGAGGAUCUCUUGUCAGGCCUCCAACCCUGCCACCAGAGGAUGGAAAAAUCUGACCCCAUCCCUGUGCCUUAAACUUAGACGCUCAAGAAACAUUUGUUCAAUUCAUUGUUUACGUUCUUUGGUUAAGAGGUAUAAGUAAGUUUAAGAGGCAGGAGCUAUACAUGCAUAAUCUCAUGUGUUCCUCACAGGAAAACCAUUAAAGGAAGAAAUUGAAGCUUAGAGAAGUUCUGUAAGAUGCUGAGGUCACACAGUAAUAAAGAGAUAAAUGUGUGUUCUCA